ACGUUAUACGUCCCUGGUAUUGCGCGGUGUUUAAAUUUUCUUUCGGACAUUGAAUCGUGUAUAUUUAAAGGGCCUACUAAGUAACAGUUUUGAGCUAUAUGAUAUGGACUGGACACAAUUGCACAGACAGGCAGAUGGACAAUGUGACUCCUAUAUAUACCCAUCAAGACUUUGCUUGCGUGCGGUAUAUAAUAAAUGGAAGGAAAAGUACUUUCCCUAUAAACUCAUCAAAUUAUACAUAGAAAGGAUAGUGCUGGCCCUAAAGAUGAACACAUCAAAUUAUGACAAUUGGAAUGGACAGUAUCACCUCUGAAUCUGAAUAGAAUGGAGAGUAUUGGUAUUUGAUUUGAUAAGUAGUGUUAUCACCAUAAAAAGACACUGGAAAAUGUAAACAUAACAAACCACAAUAUACCAAUAUGUUCCCAU